UGACGGUACCACUUGAAUAAGCUCCGGCUAACUACGUGCCAGCAGCCGCGGUAAUACGUAGGGAGCAAGCGUUAUCCGGAUUUACUGGGUGUAAAGGGCGUGCAGGCGGGACUGCAAGUCAGAUGUGAAAGCACGAGGCUCAACUUCGUGUCUGCAUUUGAAACUGUAGUUCUUGAGUGUUGGAGAGGCUAACGGAACUCCUAGUGUAGCGGUGAAAUGCGUAGAUAUUAGGAAGAACACCAGUGGCGAAGGCGGUUAGCUGGACAAUAACUGACGCUGAGGCGCGAAAGCGUGGGUAGCAAACAGGAUUAGAUACCCUG
rnacentral:rRNA from 1 species